rnacentral:piRNA from 1 species
UGCCAUCAAGAAGUUGUUUUAUUCAG